rnacentral:tRNA from 1 species
GGAAGCGUGCCAGAGUGGUCGAAUGGGACGGUCUUGAAAACCGUAGUCCCGCAAAACGGGACCAGGGGUUCGAAUCCUCUCGCUUCCG